rnacentral:rRNA from 1 species
ACCCACGUUUUUAGUUGCCAUCAUUCAGUUGGGCACUCUAGAGAAACUGCCGGUGACAAACCGGAGGAAGGUGUGGACGACGUCAAGUCAUCAUGCCCCUUACAUCCUGGGCUACACACGUACUACAAUGCUCCGGACAGCGAGACGCGAAGCCGCGAGGUGAAGCAAAUCUCCCAAACCGGGGCUCAGUUCAGAUUGCAGGCUGCAACUCGCCUGCAUGAAGGCGGAAUCGCUAGUAAUCGCAGGUCAGCAUACUGCGGUGAAUACGUUCCCGGGCCUU